UGGGGAAUAUUGCACAAUGGGCGCAAGCCUGAUGCAGCAACGCCGCGUGAGCGAGGAAGGCUUUCGGGUCGUAAAGCUCUGUCCUUGGGGAAGAAGGAAGUGACGGUACCCAAGGAGGAAGCCCCGGCUAACUACGUGCCAGCAGCCGCGGUAAUACGUAGGGGGCGAAGCGUUAUCCGGAAUUAUUGGGCGUAAAGAGUACGUAGGUGGUUUUGUAAGCGCGGGGUGAAAGGCAGUGGCUUAACCAUUGUUAGCCUUGCGAACUGCAAGACUUGAGUGCAGGAGAGGGAAGCGGAAUUCCUAGUGUAGCGGUGAAAUGCGUAGAUAUUAGGAGGAACACCAGUGGCGAAGGCGGCUUUCUGGACUGUAACUGACACUGAGGUACGAAAGCGUGGGGAGCAAACAGGAUUAGAUACCC
rnacentral:rRNA from 1 species